ACUCUUCGGAGUUAGUGGCGGACGGGUGAGUAACACGUGGGAACGUGCCUUUUGGUUCGGAAUAACUCAGGGAAACUUGUGCUAAUACCGAAUGUGCCCUUCGGGGGAAAGAUUUAUCGCCAUUAGAGCGGCCCGCGUCUGAUUAGCUAGUUGGUGAGGUAACGGCUCACCAAGGCGACGAUCAGUAGCUGGUCUGAGAGGAUGAUCAGCCACACUGGGACUGAGACACGGCCCAGACUCCUACGGGAGGCAGCAGUGGGGAAUCUUGCGCAAUGGGCGAAAGCCUGACGCAGCCAUGCCGCGUGAAUGAUGAAGGUCUUAGGAUUGUAAAAUUCUUUCACCGGGGACGAUAAUGACGGUACCCGGAGAAGAAGCCCCGGCUAACUUCGUGCCAGCAGCCGCGGUAAUACGAAGGGGGCUAGCGUUGCUCGGAAUUACUGGGCGUAAAGGGCGCGUAGGCGGAUCGUUAAGUCAGGGGUGAAAUCCCGGGGCUCAACCUCGGAAUUGCCCUUGAUACUGGCGAUCUUGAGUAUGAGAGAGGUAUGUGGAACUCCGAGUGUAGAGGUGAAAUUCGUAGAUAUUCGGAAGAACACCAGUGGCGAAAGCGACAUACUGUCUCAUUACUGACGCUGA
rnacentral:rRNA from 1 species